GUUUUUAUAGUUGAAUAACAACAGUGGUUUUUCGGAUCAUUGGUCCUGAUUAAAGUUCAGGUAAAAAUU
rnacentral:tRNA from 1 species